GGAAGGAUCAUUACCGAGUGAGGGCCCUCUGGGUCCAACCUCCCACCCGUGUUUAUUUUACCUUGUUGCUUCGGCGGGCCCGCCUUAACUGGCCGCCGGGGGGCUUACGCCCCCGGGCCCGCGCCCGCCGAAGACACCCUCGAACUCUGUCUGAAGAUUGUAGUCUGAGUGAAAAUAUAAAUUAUUUAAAACUUUCAACAACGGAUCUCUUGGUUCCGGCAUCGAUGAAGAACGCAGCGAAAUGCGAUACGUAAUGUGAAUUGCAAAUUCAGUGAAUCAUCGAGUCUUUGAACGCACAUUGCGCCCCCUGGUAUUCCGGGGGGCAUGCCUGUCCGAGCGUCAUUGCUGCCCUCAAGCACGGCUUGUGUGUUGGGCCCCGUCCUCCGAUCCCGGGGGACGGGCCCGAAAGGCAGCGGCGGCACCGCGUCCGGUCCUCGAGCGUAUGGGGCUUUGUCACCCGCUCUGUAGGCCCGGCCGGCGCUUGCCGAUCAACCCAAAUUUUUAUCCAGGUUGACCUCGGAUCAGGUAGG
rnacentral:rRNA from 1 species